UACGUAGGUGGCGAGCGUUGUUCGGAAUUACUGGGCGUAAAGGGCGCGCAGGCGGCCUUGGAAGUCAGGUGUGAAAGCCCUGGGCUCAACCUAGGAAUUGCACUUGAUACUCUGAUGGCUGGAGUGCGGGAGAGGAGAGUGGAAUUCCCAGUGUAGAGGUGAAAUUCGUAGAUAUUGGGAAGAACACCGGUGGCGAAGGCGGCUCUCUGGACCGUAACUGACGCUGAGGCGCGAAAGCGUGGGGAGCAAACAG
rnacentral:rRNA from 1 species